GACGAACGCUGGCGGCGUGCUUAACACAUGCAAGUCGAACGGAAAGGCCCUGCUUUUGUGGGGUGCUCGAGUGGCGAACGGGUGAGUAACACGUGAGUAACCUGCCCUUGACUUUGGGAUAACUUCAGGAAACUGGGGCUAAUACCGGAUAGGAGCUCCUGCUGCAUGGUGGGGGUUGGAAAGUUUCGGCGGUUGGGGAUGGACUCGCGGCUUAUCAGCUUGUUGGUGGGGUAGUGGCUUACCAAGGCUUUGACGGGUAGCCGGCCUGAGAGGGUGACCGGGCACAUUGGGACUGAGAUACGGCCCAGACUCGUACGGGAGGCAGCAGUGGGGAAUAUUGCACAAUGGGCGGAAGCCUGAUGCAGCAACGCCGCGUGCGGGAUGACGGCCUUCGGGUUGUAAACCGCUUUCGCCUGUGACGAAGCGUGAGUGACGGUAAUGGGUAAAGAAGCACCGGCUAACUACGUG
rnacentral:rRNA from 1 species